UACAGAGGGUGCGAGCGUUAAUCGGAAUUACUGGGCGUAAAGCGCGCGUAGGCGGCUUUGCAAGUCGGGUGUGAAAUCCCCAGGCUUAACCUGGGAACUGCAUUCGAGACUGCAUUGCUAGAGUAUGGGAGAGGGAAGUGGAAUUUCAGGUGUAGCGGUGAAAUGCGUAGAUAUCGGAAGGAACACCAGUGGCGAAAGCGGCUUCCUGGUCCAGCACCGACGUCAGGCACGAAAGCGUGGGGAGCAAACAGG
rnacentral:rRNA from 1 species